UUGUUGGGCGGCGAGCGGCGGACGGGUGAGUAAUGCUUGGGAAUAUAGCCUUAUGGUGGGGGACAACAGUUGGAAACGACUGCUAAUACCGCAUGAUGUCUACGGACCAAAGUGGGGGACCUUCGGGCCUCACGCCAUAAGAUUAGCCCAAGUGGGAUUAGCUAGUUGGUGAGGUAAUGGCUCACCAAGGCGACGAUCCCUAGCUGGUUUGAGAGGAUGAUCAGCCACACUGGGACUGAGACACGGCCCAGACUCCUACGGGAGGCAGCAGUGGGGAAUAUUGCACAAUGGGCGCAAGCCUGAUGCAGCCAUGCCGCGUGUGUGAAGAAGGCCUUCGGGUUGUAAAGCACUUUCAGUAAGGAGGAAAGGUUAGUCACUAAUAUUGGCUAGCUGUGACGUUACUUACAGAAGAAGCACCGGCUAACUCCGUGCCAGCAGCCGCGGUAAUACGGAGGGUGCGAGCGUUAAUCGGAAUUACUGGGCGUAAAGCGUACGCAGGCGGUUUGUUAAGCGAGAUGUGAAAGCCCCGGGCUCAACCUGGGAACUGCAUUUCGAACUGGCAAACUAGAGUGUGAUAGAGGGUGGUAGAAUUAUCAGGUGUAGCGGUGAAAUGCGUAGAGAUCUGAAGGAAUACCGAUGGCGAAAGGCA
rnacentral:rRNA from 1 species